ncrna:Streptacidiphilus albus L31-Actinobacteria ribosomal protein leader
UCGGUCCCGGUUCACGAACGGCAACCCGCCGUCCGACCCGGAGCC